AUUGAACGCUGGCGGCAGGCUUAACACAUGCAAGUCGAGCGAGCGGCGGACGGGUGAGUAAUGUCUGGGAAACUGCCUGAUGGAGGGGGAUAACUACUGGAAACGGUAGCUAAUACCGCAUACCAUCAGAUGUGCCCAGAUGGGAUUAGCUAGUAGGUGGGGUAAUGGCUCACCUAGGCGACGAUCCCUAGCUGGUCUGAGAGGAUGACCAGCAACACGGGAACUGAGCACGGGUCAAGACUCCGAGGGGAGGCAGAGGGGGGGAAUAUUGAACAAUGGGCGCAAGCCGGUUGCAGCCUGGCGGGGUGUGGGAAGAAGGCCUCCGGGUUGUAAAGCACUUUAAGCGAGGAGGCGUUACUCGCAGAAGAAGCACCGGCUAACUCCGUGCCAGCAGCCGCGGUAAUAC
rnacentral:rRNA from 1 species